UGGGGUGGGUUAUGGUAAUGAAGGUGGGGUUAUGGUAAUGAGAGGUUAUGCAAAUGAGGGGUUAUGCAAAUGAGGGGGUUAUGGUAAUGAGGGAUUAUGGUAAUGAGGGGGAUUAUGGUAAGGAGGGGUUAUGGAAAGAAAGGUGGGGUUAUGGUAAUGAGGGGUGGCGUUAUGGUAAUGAGGGUGGGGUUAUGGUAAUGAGUGUUGGUUAUGGUAGGGAGGAAUUGUGGGAAUGUGCGGUUAUGCAAAUGAG